rfam:Nomascus leucogenys chromosome 11, whole genome shotgun sequence.
AGUCUUUUGUAGUUUGUAAGUGUGAUGAUUAGGUUUUGAGAGGGGCCUCCCUCAAACCUUUAGACAUUGUCAUCGGCACAUUACCUGCCUGAUG